rnacentral:rRNA from 1 species
UAAUACGGAGUGUGCAAGCGUUACUCGGAAUCACUGGGCAUAAAGAGCACGUAGGUGGGAAUACAUGUCCGUGGUGAAAUCCCCCAGCUCAACUGGGGAACUGCUUUGGAAACUGUAUUUCUUGAGGACGAGAGGGGAGAGUGGAACUUCUGGUGGAGCGGUGAAAUGCGUAGAUAUCAGAAGGAACACCGGUGGCGAAAGCGACUCUCUGGCUCGUAUCUGACACUGAGGUGCGAAAGCUUGGGUAGCAAACAGGAUUAGAUACCCUGGUAGUCCAAGCCGUAAACGAUGGGCACUAGGCAGGGGGGAUUCCGAUAUUCUCCCUGCUGGAGCUAAUGUGUUAAGUGCCCCGCCUGGGAAGUACAGUCGCAAGGCCG